rnacentral:lncRNA from 1 species
AAAAGUUUCUCUCUCCCGUUGAGGAGUGCGCGCAGCCCACGGGCUUGACUUUAACGUCCUCCGUCUCCAUUUUGCCGGUGACCGGGCCGUCCCCACCCCCGCCGUUCGGCCCCUCCGCUGCAGCCACCAUCUCCGACUGAGAGCUGAGCGCCGCCGCACCACUCACGGCUGGUCUGGUGCGGCCGUCCCCGACGUUCGGCCCCUCCGCAGCAGCCGCCAUUAGCUUGUAAAAGCUGAGCGCUGCUGCACCAUCUCGGCUGGUCUGGUGCGACUGGGACCGCAGCGGCGGACCAGGAGAUCGAGAGCUGCGGACCAGGCGAGAGCUGAGCGUUGCCGUCCUACGCUCCGCUGCUCCUAGCGCCGGGUCUGGACGCCUCCAGCCGUGGACUCGCCGACCGAAGCACCGCCCGCCGGAAGAUACCGCAGCGGCGGAAAUCAGCUCAGCGCCGUCUGGAAGUCCACCGCAGCCUUUGGACGUCCACAGCAGCCUCCGUCAACCUCAUCUACGAGAAAACUUCCUCCGGAACGGAUGAUGCGGUUCUCGUCCUCUAUCUCCGAUCGAAAUUCCUUGUAAGCUUCUUUAUCACCUCUUUGUUGUUAAUCUCUAGUAGAGAGGUGAGUUCUGUUCGAAUUUCUUCUUCUUUUCUUCGUUGGUUGUUUUGCUCGAAUCUGAUCGAUCUUGUUCUCUUAUCGGAUAUUUCGAACUUUUGCUGUUUUCAUUUUCGUGUUUGAAAUAUUCUGUGGCCCAAGAAGGAAUUUUUGGAUGAC